GGCCGUGUGGUCUAGUGGUAUGAUACUCGCUUUGGGUGCGAGUGGCCCAGGGUUCAAUUCCCUGCUCGGCCC
rnacentral:tRNA from 1 species